AUUUAUGACCACACCAUGCAGGAGAAAUAUAGAAAAGGGGAUAUAGGAACUAGGAGCUGAGCCAGCUGUACGUCCCUUAAUGAGACCUCUGUAAUUGCAAUUUCCCACCAACCAAUAAAGAACUGGCCCGGGGGGAUGGCAAGGUGGAACCCAUCAGCACACGGAGGACACCUGGGCAGGGCAGGUCAUAAAGGGCCGAAGGUUUCGGGGCACUUCCCUUUUGCACGAGCAGAAAGGAAGUGCCCGGAGCCCCCUCCCGAGCAGCAGCAGUGCAGGUGCUGAUGACGCGAGCCUCCAGGCACCACUGCUGAACUCUGCUCCAGGCCAGUGGCGUUUCAUCAACACCUUUUUAUCAUCAUGUGGUCAUCGAAAGAUGAUGUGUGGGAUGAACCUUAAGGUGCGAUGGGAAGUGGCAACCUGGAAGAAAUACCCGUCUGAAUUCUGCUCUGAAUCAAAAUCGCUGUGCUACACUCAGUGUAUGUUCUGCUUUCAUUCAUUUCAUGGGGAAAUAAGAAACAACUUGCUUUUCACUGGUUGCUUCCGUGUCCAACGAUUGCAUCAAACUUAACAUCGGUCAUCUUUUUGAGAUAAUUCAAGGCACGUUCUGGAAUCAACCUGGAGGAUGAAAAAAAAACCCAUGAAAUUAAACGUAGGAUAAGAAUUUAGGUUUUGGAGAAAGUGGCACCGCAGGUGGGACUGGAGCUCGUCUGGGCACAGAACGCAUGCUCGCAUCACACUGAGACCAGAACUUAAAUCUGGGGAGUACUUCCUAAAAACCCACUGCCUUCAUAACUGUUUGACCAGCUUGACCUCCAGUCCCUUCAGCACCUUGCUCCUUUUAUGAUCGCUUCAACCACUGCAAAGGAUGUUGGUUACAACACUGCUUGCAGGUUUAAUGUUGAAUGUAGGCAAGUACAUGAAAAAUGAAAUGAGAAUUAACUUUGCUUUCUCUUUGCUUUCAAAACCUCAUCUGACUGAUGGAGAAUUUUGGGAAGGCAAAAGAUUCUUUACACUCUCAUAAAACAGCUUUGGCUGUUUCCUGGCUUUCACGAAUGAGUUACUAUGAAGUCUUGAGAUACUGUAGAAGCUAACUGAAGUGGUAAAGUAGUUGUUCUGAUGCAAACCUAGCUUUUGAAUCAGGGCUGUGGAGAGAACACAGCCCCAGCAGAGCAGUCAUACUGGACGUUUAGUCACAGAAUCACAGAAUUAGCUAGGUUGGAAAAGACCUACAAGAUCAUCCAGUCCAACCAUCCCAGUAUGGGAGGACAAGUCUCACUUCAAAUGGCAGAGGGAAGAAGCAGAACCCUUCUCAAGCAGCAUUCCCAGCCUUCGUGACCUAGACCUCCUGGUGCUGCCGUGAAGAAGUGAAUACCAAAAAGCAGCAGUUCCUUAACUGCAUCUGGAGCUUGUCUGGAGCCAUUGGUCCAGAGAAACUAUUCUUUGCAAGCCCAUGGGAAAUUCUGUUUAUGAUUGAAAAGUGAUCCCUUGAUCUGCUUCUGCGUCCCUAUCAGCCAGCGGAGCAUCUGAGUUCUUCACUCAGCAGCUCAUGCAAAAAUUGGAUCAUAAUGACCUGUAAGAGGACUCAACAAAACCCUCAUGGUAUCUGCUGUUGUCACUGGAAAGAAACAAUAUGCUGUAACAUUGACUUGCCACAGGUUCUAAAAUAACACAGAAUUGAAUCAGAUGUUACAAGUGUGUUCAAGAACUGUUUAGAUGUUGACUGAGAGACAUGGUGUAGUGGGAAACACUGGUGAUAGGCAUCCAGUUGGACUGGAUGACCUUAGAGGUCUUUUCCAACUUUGGUGGUUCUAUGAAGUGUAAUGCUUGUACACUCCUGCAGUUAUCCCUUACGUUGUUACGUACCUUUCGAGAAGUAAAGCAAUGUGUUGAUGUGACGGAACAAAAACCAUUUUCUGGUUGGUCAGUAUUCCCUCCAUCAGUGCCUUCACAACUUCAUCAACCUCCAAGAUCUUUCCAAGCCUAAAAUCAAAGGAAAGCAUGUAUGUAAGAGCAACAGAGAUAAAACAUGGGCAGCGGCUGAAUAUGAAGUAGGAUGCUUCACAAGUGCCUGAAGUCAGGUGAGCCAGCUCGUCUGUUAAAGCUUUAUGAAAUCCAACUGCAGCAAACUUGCUUGAACUGGUGGAGGAAGAAAAAGCACAAAUGAGAAGGCAUGAAUGUUAUUUCCAGCCUGACAGAAAUGGAAAGGGGCUGAGAGAACAUGCAGUACUGACUAGAGAGGGAAACAGUGCAAUCCACUUGGGAAGGCAGGGGCUAAUUCUAAUUUUUGCUGUCUUAUACUGUUUUCCUAAAAUAGACAUUGCUGCUUGUGGAAAACCUUUUAGGAUGCAAAGAGGAAUAUGUAGGUAAUCUUAGUAGUGAAUAGUCAGAGGAGUGUUAGGAAAUAAUAAUUGGCAUGCAUAAGUCUCAUGUUUCUCUUUCUGAAAGCUAAAUUCAGUAGACAGUGUAAUGUCCAGCAUUUCUUACUACAGGAAAAAAAAUACUGCCUAAGCCUGUAAAACUAAGAAGAAAAAAAGAUGGUAAAAACAAAUAAACAAUAAGUAGGUUGUUUUUUUUAUGGCUACAGCAACUCACAAGAGCAUUGUGUUAUUCUAAGAAGGAAAGAG